rnacentral:lncRNA from 1 species
GCUGCUCGUACUAGGAAGUUCCCCUUUAAAACGCGAAGUACGCAUGCGUCACAUCCUUUCUUCCCAAGAGUGGAAGAAUCUGGUCACAGGUCCUACGCGUUGCAGGACUGUGCUCUGUCCAGCAUAGGUCUGCCGUCCCGUGUGGUUUGGCUGGUUUGGGAAUGGUCUUCUAUGCCCUGGAUUGGGUAAUCAGGGCUUUGAUUCUCUUGGAGGUGCUGUGGUCUUGGUAAAGGUCCUGACCUUGAGUUGAACUAGCGCUGCCCUGGCCUUUGUGCCGCUGUGGGAGGGUCUACUCUCAAGCUGUGUUACAUGUGCCCUUUGAUCUCUAGUUCAUCAGUCAUCUUUUUGAGGUGGAAGAGCCAGAUGAUCGCUGCAGCCAAUGGAAGGGAUCAUGGCAUUUGCCACUGGAAAUGGGUGACAUGGGAACUGCAGAGGAGUUAAAAACUGGUAAUUUUAAAAUGGGUAUGCAUGC